rnacentral:rRNA from 1 species
AUUGAACGCUGGCGGCGUGCUUAACACAUGCAAGUCGUGCGGUAACAGGCGUAGCAAUACGUGCUGACGAGCGGCGAACGGGUGCGUAAUACAUGGGAAUCUGCCCUUUAGUGGGGAAUAACCCGGCGAAAGCCGGGCUAAUGCCGCAUAAGAUCUUCGGAUGAAAGCGGGGGAUCGUAAGACCUCGCGCUGAUGGAUGAGCCCAUGCCGGAUUAGCAGUUGGUGAGGUAACGGCUCACCAAGGCGACGAUCCGUAGCUGGUCUGAGAGGACGGCCAGCCACACUGGAACUGAGACACGGUCCAGACUCCUACGGGAGGCAGCAGUGGGGAAUAUUGGGCAAUGGAGGCAACUCUGACCCAGCCAUGCCGCGUGGGUGACGAAGGUCUUCGG